AUUGAACGCUGGCGGCAGGCCUAAAACAUGCAAGUCGAACGGAGUGGCGGACGGGUGAGUAAUGCCUAGGAAUCUGCCUGGUAGUGGGGGAUAACGUCCGGAAACGGGCGCUAAUACCGCAUACUAUCAGAUGAGCCUAGGUCGGAUUAGCUAGUUGGUGGGGUAAAGGCCUACCAAGGCGACGAUCCGUAACUGGUCUGAGUGGAUGAUUAGGCAGACGGGAACUGAGACACGGGCCAGACUCCUACGGGCGGCAGCAGUGGGGAAUAUUGGAAAAUGGGCGCAAGCGUGAUCCAGCCAUGCCGGGUGUGUGAAGAAGGUAUUCGGAUUGUAAAGCACUUUAAGUUGGGAGGCGGUACCAACAGAAUAAGCACCGGCUAACUUCGUGCCAGCCGCCGCGGUAAUGC
rnacentral:rRNA from 1 species